UACGUAGGGUGCGAGCGUUGUCCGGAAUUACUGGGCGUAAAGAGCUCGUAGGCGGCUUGUCGCGUUGUUCGUGAAAAUUUACCGCUCAACGGUGAACUUGCGGGCGAUACGGGCAGGCUAGAGUACUGCAGGGGAGACUGGAAUUCCUGGUGUAGCGGUGAAAUGCGCAGAUAUCAGGAGGAACACCGGUGGCGAAGGCGGGUCUCUGGGCAGUAACUGACGCUGAGGCGCGAAAGCUAGGGGAGCAAACAGG
rnacentral:rRNA from 1 species